GUGCGCGAGCUUAAUAGAGAAGCCGGUGAAAGUCCGGCACGGUCCCGCCGCUGUAACGUGGAGCGUGUCUUGUUUAUGCCACUGGAAAUCCAUCUGGGAAGGUAAGAUAUGCGAAGAAGCGAAGCCAGAAGAACUGCCUGUAAGA
rnacentral:ncRNA from 1 species